GUCCCUGUAAGUAGAAUAUUAUUUCUGAGAGCACGGCUGGUUCGUUUCGCGUGUUCCUCACGAUACAAUGCCAGUGAAUUAUUGUUGUGCAAAUCAGGAUUGCAUUAAAUGAAUCUAUUGGUAACAGCUGAUUUCAAGCUUAAUUCCGUGUAGACUCCACGCGAUGAAUUGUAAAUGUGUAUGAUAGAAAAAGAUGUAUCCAGAUCUGAAUUAAAAAUUUCUCGCGAUUGCUGUAACUAUUUUUAAUUGUUGUAUGACACAAAGCAUAAGACUGAUGUAACCAUUUAAGUGCCAGGAUGCUGUGGUUCCGCGUUGAAAUAGGUGCCAUCGUACCAAUGUACUUAGACUUUAUCCAUUCUUCUUAUAAUCGUUUAUGGCACUGAAACGGUCAUGCUAAUUCAAGCGACAAAAGAAGAAAAAAAAAAAAAGAAACCUAUAUCGUUGUGCAGUGAACAUAUUCAUCGUAACACGAUACAUUUGCAAUAAAUAAACGUAGAAAAAAAGUGACUUAGAGAAACCUGUGCGCGUGAGUGUGUAAGCGUACAGUGCUACAGUCACGAGUGCACUGAAAACUUAUGCUUCCUAUUUUUUACUUUUCUACGAAUUUUCAAUAAUAAAGCGGAUAAAAGCAGAUGAUAAAAAUAGGAAGUAUUUUCCAGGCACGUUUUCACACGAACAACACAUAUCAAUUGAAGCGAAAUCAACGCGUGUGAAGAAGCACCUAAUGUUACGAUGUUUCGCUUUUAAGAAGACACAAGAUACGUGUAAAAAAUUUGUGUCACCAUUACAUUCUUCAUAAGCGGAACAAAGGUAAAAAUGUAACAGAACUUUCAAGCAACGUACCGAGCGAACAUCUAAUCGAACGAUACAUUAUACCGAUUCUUACCUUCUCUGAUAUCUUUCGGUACAUUAGACGAAAGCGAUGGCAUGGAAGGUGUUUGAUAGAGAUUGGACCGCGCGCCGGUUGAUGGUAAUUGUGUUACUUUGGACCUAAUAAAUAAGUUAUAUUAUGGAAUAAUGCAACAUCGAACUUUGAAUUGCUCGUAAAGUUUGUAAAACCACCUCUGUUUACGAAUCUUCUGAUUUCUUCCAUCAAACGAGGUGGGUGUACCAGCGCCUGAGGCGUUCGACGAGUACGAAGGUGGUCUGUAAGGUCGUGGACAGCCCUGAACAACUGGUGGUGAUGGUACUGGUGCAUAUUGCAACCGCGGGUUAACUGGUACUCCUGGAUGCAUCAAUCUCAUAUCCCCUGUAAAGAACGAAAUCUAUAUAAAAAAA